rnacentral:lncRNA from 1 species
UUUUUCCACAUCAUAUUUACAAAACAGAUGUUUUUCUUUUCUAAUUUUUAUUUUCAAUGCUUGCUCGGUUUUUCAAGAGUUGUGGCACUUACUGAUUCUCAUUUUCGUUCUCCCCAACUUAUUUCUUACUCACCCUAAGUGAAUGCUCUUAACUUUUUACGGCAAAAGAACAAUAAUCAAGAUUUUCCGGGUUGUAAAAAAAAGAUUUUUGAAAUCUCGC